GACCUAACCUCCGCCGACUGGCGGAGCAGGGUUAAAAAACUCAUGGACGAUACUGAACCCCGUGUUCAGCACUCGUCCAUGAGUCAUAGCUCGAAAGGGCUAUGGGCCGCAAGGCC
rnacentral:sRNA from 1 species